rnacentral:lncRNA from 1 species
GGAAGGACUAGGCUACUUUUAGAUUUACACUUUAUCCCUCCAUAGUAUUUCCUCCAUAGUAUUUGCUUUACAUGCGUGGUUUAAUAGUUUAAAAUAUUUUCCUUUUCAAUCAUGAACAUAAUUAUAAAGACAUCGUAUGGACGGGAGAGAUUCUCUGAUUAUUUAUUUGAAUGGUGGUGGACAGGUCGCGGUUAUCCGGACAGGAGCCUAUUACGCCCUGUCUUAAAUCGCUGGAUAACAAAGUUGUCCUUCCUCUGUGUGACUGUGAGUGAGUUGGCUCAGCCCCUCCCUCAGCCCUUCCUCACACAUCUUUGGUUGAUACUGCGUGUCUGAUUGACAGGAACAACCAGAUUCGGCUCUUCUGAUAUGCGAACAAGCUCCCAACGUUCACCUACAAGAGCCGGCUCUUAGAGCCAACUCGUUCGCGAACGACCCAUCACUACUGAGGAAAGAAAGAAAGAAAGGGAGAGAGAUGCUUUUGUGAAGCGGGAAAACAUUUUAUGUACUAAAAAUCGUUUUUCCCCGAAUUGGGUUGAACUGCACUGUUGUUCUGCCCCUGAACAAGGCACUGUUCUUAGGCCGUCAUUGUAAAUAAGAAUUUGUUCUUAACUGACUUGCCUAGUUAAAUAAAGGUUAAAAAUAAGUUUGGACUUGGACAUUACAUGGAAGGUAAUGACUGGAGAACCUAAAGCGAGAACAGGAGAAGAAAAAUAAACUGAGUCCACUGAAGAAACAAAUAAAACUGAAGAAGCAACAGAAGCAACUGAAGCUGAGGAAACAUAUAGAACAAAUGAGGAUGAAACAAAUGAGGUUAAGAAAUAAGAAAUCUGAUUCAGUUGAAGACAACUCAGAAGAAAUGAAGGAAGCAGAAGCAGAGAUAAGAUGAUCUCUAAGAACUAAGAAAGCUCCUACACUGCUGACCUAUGACACACCUGGAGUUCCUAGUGUGGUGUCUGUUCCUAUAGUGAGAUAUAUCACUUCUAUAUACAAGUGGAUUGGGUAGUAUUAUGUGUGUGAAUGUAUAUUUUGUAAACAUUUAAUCAGAUUGGUUUUAUUUUUUAUAAAUUACGUUUUACUACAGCCUUCGCUGUUGGCCUAUGUUGGUUAAAUUAUUAUGUACUGUUACUUGAAAUAUGUUGGGACAGUUUUUGUUCACCUGAAGGGUGUGUGAUCAUUUGGGCCAAUCAAGAUGGACUAUGGGUGGUGUGCAGAUGGUUUUGCAGGUUUUCCAUUGUUGCCGAGGAGAGAAACAAAAGGGAGAGAGAUGCUCUUGUGAAGCGGGAUAACAUUUUAUGUACGAA